rnacentral:rRNA from 1 species
GACAAAAGAGCUCUCGAUUGAUGGCUCAGUGAGGCCUUCGGACUGGCUCGGAGAGGUUGGCAACGACCACUCCGAGCCGGAAAGUUCGUCAAACUCGGUCAUUUAGAGGAAGUAAAAGUCGUAACAAGGUUUCCGUAGGUGAACCUGCGGAAGGAUCAUUA